rnacentral:rRNA from 1 species
GAUGAACGCUGGCGGCGUGCCUAAUACAUGCAAGUCGAGCGAACAGACGAGGAGCUUGCUCCUCUGACGUUAGCGGCGGACGGGUGAGUAACACGUGGAUAACCUACCUAUAAGACUGGGAUAACUUCGGGAAACCGGAGCUAAUACCGGAUAAUAUAUUGAACCGCAUGGUUCAAUAGUGAAAGACGGUUUUGCUGUCACUUAUAGAUGGAUCCGCGCCGCAUUAGCUAGUUGGUAAGGUAACGGCUUACCAAGGCGACGAUGCGUAGCCGACCUGAGAGGGGGAUCGGCCACACUGGAACUGAGACACGGUCCAGACUCCUACGGGAGGCAGCAGUAGGGAAUCUUCCGCAAUGGGCGAAAGCCUGACGGAGCAACGCCGCGUGAGUGAUGAAGGUCUUCGGAUCGUAAAACUCUGUUAUUAGGGAAGAACAAAUGUGUAAGUAACUAUGCACGUCUUGACGGUACCUAAACAGAAAGCCACGGCUAACUACGUG